rnacentral:rRNA from 1 species
UCCAGACUCCUACGGGAGGCAGCAGUGGGGGAUAUUGCACAAUGGGGGGAACCCUGAUGCAGCGACGCCGCGUGGGUGAAGGAGCGUUUCGGCGCGUAAAGCCCUAUCGGCAGGGAAGAAGGAGGACGGUACCUGACUAAGAAGCCCCGGCCAACUACGUGCCAGCAGCCGCGGUAAUACGUAGGGGGCAAGCGUUAUCCGGAUUUACUGGGUGUAAAGGGAGCGUAGGCGGCCACGCAAGUCAGAAGUGAAAACCCGGGGCUCAACCCUGGGAGUGCUUUUGAAACUGUGCGGCUAGAGUGUCGGAGGGGUAAGUGGAAUUCCUAGUGUAGCGGUGAAAUGCGUAGAUAUUAGGAGGAACACCAGUGGCGAAGGCGGCUUACUGGACGAUGACUGACGCUGAGGCUCGAAAGCGUGGGGAGCAAACAGGAUUAGAUACCCGGGUA